rnacentral:rRNA from 1 species
GUGCCAGCAGCCGCGGUAAUACGUAGGUGGCGAGCGUUGUCCGGAUUUACUGGGCGUAAAGGGUGCGUAGGCGGAUGUUUAAGUGGGAUGUGAAAUCCCCGGGCUUAACCUGGGGGCUGCAUUCCAAACUGGAUAUCUAGAGUGCAGGAGAGGAAAGCGGAAUUCCUAGUGUAGCGGUGAAAUGCGUAGAGAUUAGGAAGAACACCAGUGGCGAAGGCGGCUUUCUGGACUGUAACUGACGCUGAGGCACGAAAGCGUGGGUAGCAAACAGGAUUAGAUACCCUGGUAGUCC